UAGACCGCCUCCCUCGCGGGCCUGAGAAGAUGCCCCCUACCCGCACCCCUACCAAUGUACUCUGUUGGCUCCGCCAAGUCUCCCUGGGUCUCCAGCCUAGGUGUUCAUAUCUAUGGAGUUCACAAAGGGUGCGGAAGCGGCUCUCGGUGAUCCAGUGUGGACCACUAGGAUGCCCAGAGCUCCUCCAUCCUUGGAGCUCCGGAAGGGGCUCCGUGGUGGGCCUCACGUGAUGUGUGGUUUCCCAGCCCCGUCGUUUUCGUGUUCCUCCUUCAUGUCUUCAUUACCCUCUCCUCUUUCACAUUCUUCAGAAAGAGUGAGCUGUGUUUGAUGAUUUGCACCUGUUAAGUUCAUCUUCAGAGGCUGAGGCAGGAGGAUUGCUAGUUUUGAGGAUCGCCUGGGCAACUUGCCUGGGAGAAGUGUCACCUGUACAACUGGACUCUGUAAAUGGCAGCUGAUGAAGACCACAGACACUAAUGAACUCACAGGAUGCCCCUGCAACCAGAAAACUCCAAAGAUACCCUCUAACAGAAGCCAAACGAGUCUGGGAGGUGGGGAGCCACAUGCUUGAAGAGGGGUGUGUGCCGCACAUGCAUCAGAACUGAAACCUGGUGUGGCAGAGAAGCCAAAGGUGGGUGAGUGGUUGCCAAGUCAGUGGAGAAAACGCCAUCCAGUUAUAUCUAUAGUUUACCAAGCCUCCUGGGGAGACAUGUGCUGCACUAAGGAAAACAUUCAGUAAAGUCUUGUUUUUGUUUUUUCAA